CUCUGGUUUGGCUGCAUGUCCUUGGUCCAAUUAGCUGUGGCCAGUGGGGUAGGGCCACAAUGUACAAUGUGACUGAUAGGUUCCGUCUACAGUGGGCAAAGUAGAAGUUACAUGCAGGGCAGACACUACAAAAAGCUCUGCCUUCGCUUUGAGACCAUGCCCAGGCUAGCCUGCUGGAGGGAGAAUGUGGAGCAGAACUGAUUCACCCCAGCCAACCUCCAGACCUGUGCAGCUCCAACCAACGCCAGCUAUCCCCCAGUCCUGUGAAUGAGGCCUGAAGAGCUACCCAGACUACAUCACCAACUGCAGACUU